UUAAGGCACUCACUGAAAGUUCUCCUGAGCCUUGUCUCCCCGCCCCCGGUCUGCGGAGAUGGGGUACAUGGACGGAGGGGGGGAGGGAGGAAGAGAGAGAUAGUGUGUGUGAGAGAGACAGAGACAGUGUGAGCUGGUUGCUGGAGAAGUCUCAGAGACCAUGCGCUGUCUCUUUAAGAAAGGCAUUCACUCACUCACUGCUCGGAGGCUGGAGUUGUUUAGAUCUCAGACUGCAGCAACUCCGAGUACUGAGCUAGGCUGUCCCCUCUCCCCCUGGUCUGUGGAGAUGGGGUACAGGGGCAGGGAAUAUCCUGACAUCAGCACCCCCUAAUUCCCCCGCUUUGCACAGCCAGCUGGAGGGUCCCGGGAGCAGCUGCAGGAGCAACAUGGCUGCAAAGUAGCAGGGGGUGGGGCACUUGAACACACGCUGCUGGAUGUGCGUGCUCUGCUAAUCAUCUGCAUGGCACUUGAAUCUCUCCUGGGCGGCCACCCAACCGCACAGCUUAGAGGGAACACAGGGCACAAGCUCUGUCCAAAGAUCUGACAAUGUAAGACACAAAAAAACAUAAAGUCCAGCAUCAUAUCAGAAGCAAGGACUGAGCCAAAGCCUAUUGAACUCAAUGGAAAGACUUCCAUGACUACAGAGAGCAUUGGAUCAGACCCUAGGUUUCAAUAAUCACCAAAGACCUUGGAGUCUCCUUUGCCUUUAUCUGCAUUGGCAGCACCAUGUUUCCUGACUUUCUGAUCUUCCAACAUAAAGUGAGCACUAGGCCUUUGAUUGAAGGAUACUGGCAAGAUGAAGUGUGAAAUAUGGCCACCUACGGAAAGGAAGUGAUACAACAACACAUUUCAGUGCUGUCAUGAAAUUCAUCAGAACAAUCCCUUCCCACAAGGAAGUAUCCCCAGAUCAGCAGAGCAGGGUGCCAUAAAGAAAACUGGAAGAUUUUAUAAAAACUGCACAGGCAUUGUACAUUUUGCUACGAGAUGCUAUGCCUCAGAACUCCCCUGGGAAAGGUCUAAUGCUGUGAGCAGAAAGGAAAGGUUCAUGAACCCCAUAACCAGGACUCCUGCAGGUCAAGCAUUAGUGCUUGGCAUCAGAGCCUGUGGACCUCAAAAGUAAAGGAGAGAAGGGGAAACGUAAGUCUCAUACCAGGAAAAGAACCAUGUCUUGACAAUGUCACGGCUCAGCUUACAAAUGCAAUUGAUGACUGCAGUUUGUGUUCUCCCUCCACUUCCCCCUCAAUAGAUAUAUAUAUUCAGCGUGGGAAAACAGGAGAGUGGUGAUGAGCCGGAGUGAUAGCUGCCUGGUACUUGCUACCUUAAAAGGGAGGCCUGAGAAAGUGCAAGAACAGCAGCAUGUUAAAUCUCACAUGCAGAGGAGGUGUCUCUGCUAUCACUCUGGAGUGCAACUAAUAAAGCAAGAGGGAGUCAGAGCAGUUCUCAGGCAAGCAGGGCUUUGGAAACACAGAUAAAUUCAGAUGAGAUAUUUGAACUUGAAAACUAGAUGUCAAAAGGCAUAGGAAUUCAAUCAGCCACUCUUUGAGCUUCAGUGAUUACCACAUAGGUUUGGUCUCUGUCAGAGGGAAUUGUGCUUUGUGAUGCUUGAGUUGAGUUAUUCUCCAGUUCACUUAAUUACUCACUCACAAACCUACUUUACACAAAGCAAAUAGCUCUUAAAUUAAAUUUUAAAAAAGCCUCACUGGCUACCAAUAGCUUGGACUAGGUUUUCUAUGUUUGCAAAAGUGUCAUCGUCCUGCUGCUUAGCAGGGCCAUUUAACAUCUCCUAUGCUACAGCACUGAAUCCUAAAUUGGUCAAAGCUGCUCUACACACAUUUCCCACAAACAAAUACACCCUCUGCUAGCAGGACUGGUUUUUGAUAAAGCAAUUGGAAAACCCCCUAUUUAUACAGAAUCACAAACAGCAUAUGCUGUCGGGUGCUUAAUGGGCAGGUACCAUAGAAAAUUAUGCUUCCUGAAUGCCAGUUGCCAAGGAAACUAGUCUAGAAGCUUUCACGAAAGGGACGUAAUGUCAUUUAAGGUAAUGUGUAGAGCUGGUCAAAUUAUUGGCUGUGAAUACAUGUACUGACAAAUUCAGACUUUUUUCCAUUUGCAAAUUGUUUGCAAACAGAUUACUGUUGUUUACUGAUAUAUUUUCAAUUUUUGAUGAUGCAAUGAACUGUUUAAGGCCUGAUCCAAAGCCCAAGACUACCAGUGACUUCGGUGGACUUUAGAUCAGGCCCUACGUGAACAAAUUUCAGCCAGAAAGUUCAUGAAAUGUUCACUUGGACUAUAUCCCAUUUGUGGUGUUUAGGCGGUCACCUAAGUCAUUCAGUACAGUUGACUUCUAGACUAGGUGACUGAAGCCUUUUAAUCAGAAGAUUAAUUGUUAAAUAGCCAAUAACAAAUAUUCUUGUUCACAUGUAAAUGUGUUACUCUGAUGCAAAUAUGGCUAUUCUAAUGAAGAACAGCCUUUCCCCAAAAAUUUGUAUUAACAAAAUACCCCUGAAUGUUUGUGAAUGCCAAAUAAAAGGUUGUAACAAAAGGCAAUAGUGAUUUGGAAUUCAAAUGAAUAUUUAAUAACACUGCUUUGCAACUUUCAACCAGAUAUCAACCACUUCAAGGAUCAUUACUGUGGGGCAGAAGUAAAGUCCUAGAAUUGACGGGGGUGUGGACUGAAGCACUGAGUGUUA